rnacentral:piRNA from 1 species
UAUAUUAUUAGGAUUUGCCAUAC